CAGGAAACUCCAGAGAUGACCCAAGCCAUCACCUUAAAUACCAUCUCCAGCUAAAGACAAAAGAAAGCUGUUGGGGGUGAGGCUUCAGGUUGGCUAUGAGCUUCUCCAUUGAUAAUAUUCUCUUGUGAUUUGGAGCCAGCUUUCUUGUCCUGCUACAGAGAGGGACACACUCUUACAAAUGGAGACCCUCCUUAUAAAUGUAAAUUUUCCUUACAAAAGGGUCACUUCUACGCUGCUUUUUCAGAGCUCUUCCUGCAUUUGCAGUUUCUCAAAACAGUCCUUAUGCCAAAGAGGCAUUUUCUGCCGUGCUACCUCCGGAUGGGAAUGAUACACACGUACUGUGGGGUGUAUGAUGGGCUUGCAAUACUUGGGCAUUGUAGGACAAAUCCAUGCUCAGGGAAAGGAGACUCAAGUUCAAAUCCUGAUUUUUGUCAGUUCCUGGCUGUGUGAUCUUGGGCAGGUGUCUUGACAAAUACUACCUUAACAUCUAUCACAACCAGGGGGCUCCUUUCAAGUGGCAAGAGAAGGCUCUGGGUAUGGAAGGAGUAGAGAAAAGGGAACUCCUGCUGGGAGACAUGGCCUAUGCAAAGGCCCUGAGGUUGGAAACUCUCACACAGACAACCUGGAGGUGACGCCCUGGCUCAGGAACUCGAAAGCAGACCCAGGCCCGAGAGGCUGCUCAAUGCAGACGAGCCUGUUUGAAACCCAGGUUUGGCUUCUCCUCAGCUCUGUGAGCAGAGAGAGACAAUACAAGCAGGGAGGAGGUCAGAGGGAGAGGAAGAAGCAGACUUCCUGCCAAGUAGGGAGCCUGAUGUGGGGCUGGAUCCCAGGACCCUGAGAUCA
rnacentral:lncRNA from 1 species